rnacentral:rRNA from 1 species
UACAGAGGUCUCAAGCGUUGUUCGGAUUCAUUGGGCGUAAAGGGCGCGUAGGUGGCGUCGCAAGUCAACGGUGAAAGCUCGACGCUCAACGUCGAGUCGGCCGUCGAGACUGCGAGGCUCGAGCACUGUAGAGGCAGAUGGAAUUCCGGGUGUAGCGGUGGAAUGCGUAGAGAUCCGGAAGAACACCGGUGGCGAAGGCGGUCUGCUGGGCAGUUGCUGACACUGAGGCGCGAAAGCGUGGGGAGCAAACAGG